UACGGUCACAUUACUCUGAAACACCGGUACCCGCACGAUUACCGAAGUUAAGCAGCGUCGAUCCCGAUCAGUAUAUAGGUGGGUGACCGCUUGGGAAUAUCAGGUGCUGUAA